rnacentral:tRNA from 1 species
GUCCCGUAGCUCAGUUGGACAGAGCGGCGGCUUCCUAAACCGUAGGUCAGGGGUUCGAAUCCCUUCCGGGACGCCA